rnacentral:rRNA from 1 species
GAUGAACGCUGGCGGCGUGCUUAAUACAUGCAAGUCGAACGGACAGGCCCGGCUCUUGCUGCUCUCACGUUUGCGGCGGGCGGGUGAGUCACGCGUGGAUAACCCCCCUAUCAGAGUGGGAUCACUUCGGAAAACCGGCGCUAAUCCCGGAUGAUAUCUUGAACCGCAUGGUUGGAUAGUGAAAGACGGUUUUGGUGUCUCUUCUAGCUGGAUCCGCGCCGUAUUGGCUAGUUGUUAGGGUAACGGCUUAUCACGGCGACGAUGCGUGGCCGACCGGCGGGGGGGAUCGCCGACAGGGGAAGUGAGACGCGGUCCAGAGUCCUACGGGAGGCAGCAGUAUGCAAUCGUCGGCAAUGGGCGGAAGCCUGACGGAGCAGCGCCGCGUGAGUGAUGAAGGUCCUCGGAGCGUAAAACUCUGUUAUUAGGGAAGAACAAAUUUGUAAGGAACUAUGCACUUCGUGACGGUACCUAAUCAGAAAGCCACGGCUAACUACGUG